GAGCCCCCAGUGCCCGCUCCCGCCCCGCGGCCCGCUCUCCCCGCCCGCCCCGGCUCGGCCGGCUGCCGUCGCCCGCGCAGCCCGCCCGUCCGCCCGCUCGCUGGCGCCGCGGCCGCCGGCAGACCCCGCGCUCCGGCUCCGGCUCGGCUCGCUGGGCUCCGGUGCGCGCCGAGGCCAUGCAGCGCCGGGGCGCCCUGUUCGGCAUGCCGGGCGGCAGCGGAGGCAGGAAGAUGGCUGCAGGAGACAUCGGCGAGCUGCUGGUGCCCCACAUGCCCACGAUCCGCGUGCCCAGGUCCGGCGACAGGGUCUACAAGAACGAGUGCGCCUUCUCCUACGACUCUCCCAAUUCUGAAGGUGGACUCUAUGUAUGCAUGAAUACAUUUUUGGCCUUUGGAAGGGAACAUGUUGAAAGACAUUUUCGAAAAACUGGACAGAGUGUAUACAUGCACCUGAAAAGACAUGUGCGAGAGAAGGUAAGAGGGGCGUCUGGUGGAGCGUUACCAAAAAGGAGGAAUUCCAAGAUUUUUUUAGAUCUAGAUACUGAUGAUGAUUUAAAUAGCGACGAUUAUGAAUAUGAAGAUGAAGCCAAACUUGUUAUAUUCCCAGAUCACUAUGAAAUAGCACUACCAAAUAUUGAGGAGUUACCAGCCCUGGUAACAAUUGCUUGUGAUGCAGUUCUCAGCUCAAAAUCUCCAUACAGAAAGCAGGACCCAGACACGUGGGAAAAUGAAUUGCCAGUAUCUAAAUAUGCCAACAACCUCACCCAGCUGGACAAUGGAGUCAGGAUUCCUCCAAGUGGUUGGAAGUGUGCCAGAUGCGACCUGCGAGAAAACCUCUGGUUGAAUCUGACUGACGGCUCUGUCCUGUGUGGAAAGUGGUUCUUUGACAGCUCUGGGGGCAAUGGGCAUGCGCUGGAGCAUUACAGAGACAUGGGCUACCCGCUAGCCGUGAAACUGGGAACCAUCACUCCUGAUGGGGCAGAUGUUUAUUCUUUUCAAGAAGAAGAACCUGUUUUGGAUCCUCAUUUGGCCAAGCACUUAGCGCAUUUUGGAAUUGAUAUGCUUCAUAUGCAUGGGACAGAGAAUGGGCUCCAGGACAAUGACAUCAAGCCGAGGGUCAGUGAGUGGGAAGUGAUCCAGGAGUCGGGCACGAAGCUGAAGCCAAUGUAUGGUCCUGGCUACACGGGUCUGAAGAACCUGGGCAACAGCUGCUAUCUCAGCUCUGUCAUGCAGGCCAUCUUCAGCAUCCCAGAAUUCCAGAGAGCGUAUGUAGGAAACCUUCCCAGAAUAUUUGACUACUCGCCUUUAGAUCCAACACAAGAUUUCAACACACAGAUGACUAAGUUAGGACAUGGCCUUCUCUCAGGCCAGUAUUCAAAGCCUCCGGUGAAAUCCGAACUCAUUGAACAGGUGAUGAAGGAGGAGCACAAGCCACAGCAGAACGGGAUCUCUCCGCGCAUGUUUAAGGCCUUUGUAAGCAAGAGCCACCCGGAAUUCUCCUCUAACAGGCAGCAAGAUGCCCAGGAAUUCUUCUUGCACCUGGUGAAUCUAGUAGAGAGGAACCGCAUCGGCUCAGAAAACCCAAGCGAUGUUUUUCGUUUUUUGGUGGAAGAACGCAUUCAGUGCUGUCAGACCCGGAAAGUCCGCUACACGGAGAGAGUGGAUUACCUGAUGCAGUUACCUGUGGCCAUGGAGGCGGCAACCAACAAGGAUGAACUGAUCGCUUAUGAACUAACGAGAAGGGAAGCAGAAGCAAACAGAAGACCCCUUCCUGAGUUGACCUACUUGAUAUCAACCAUCUCCGAGCCAGGGGGUUACAGCCAGGAGAGGAAGAACUUCCAGACAUCAGCCCCCCCAUAGUCAUUCCUGAUGACUCAAAAGAUCGCCUGAUGAACCAAUUGAUAGACCGUAUGUAUCUUUAAAAAUGUUUCUCAAUGUCCUACUAUUGUUAUUAAUCUGAUGAAUUU
rnacentral:sRNA from 1 species